AUUGGGUUGGCUAAAAAGUUCAUUUGGUUUUUUCUGUACCAUCUCAUCUUGUGGAAAAACCCGAAUGAACUUUUGGCCAACCCAAC
ensembl:miRNA bta-mir-2285n-4 bta-mir-2285n-4